GGCGACGUGGGCACGGGGGCACGGUCCAAGCUCGGGCGGGGGGGAGCGGGAGGGAAUAUUGCACAAUGGGCGAAAGCCUGAUGCAGCAACGCCGCGUGAGGGAUGAAGGCCUUCGGGUCGUAAAACGCUGUCCUCAAGGAAGAUAAUGACGGUACUUGAGGAGGAAGCCCCGGCUAACUACGUGCCAGCAGCCGCGGUAAUACGUAGGGGGCUAGCGUUA
rnacentral:rRNA from 1 species